UACGUAGGGGGCAAGCGUUGUCCGGAUUUAUUGGGCGUAAAGAGCGUGUAGGCGGUCAGGUAGGUCCGUUGUGAAAACUCGAGGCUCAACCUCGAGACGCCGAUGGAAACCAUCUGACUAGAGUCCGGAAGAGGAGAGUGGGAAUUCCUGGUGUAGCGGUGAAAUGCGCAGAUAUCAGGAAGAACACCCGUGGCUAAGGCGGCUCUCUAGUACGGUACUGACGCUGAGACGCGAAAGCGUGGGGAGCGAACAGG
rnacentral:rRNA from 1 species